AAAAAGGACACAGGCGGUGAACAACACUGAGAAAGGCUGACGGCGCCCUGCCCCCACGCCGGUCCCGCCAGCGGUCCCCAGAGGGCGCUCUAACGCUCCCGGCUGCAGGUGGUUUGAUCAUCACAAAGUGGCCGCUGUCAGUCCUCCUGGAGCUCAGCCGCCUUGAACUCCGGGACCUUCUCCUCUACCUUCCUGCAAACACCCAGACGUCUCCAGCACCCUCCUUUUUCUCGAGAAUUAUAUCCAGGACUCAGCUCCUCACACCACAUCUAAUCUUGCUAAGGGCCAGCUCAAAAUGUUGCUAGUUUUCUAAAAAUAUCAGCCAGCUUUGUCGCCUGCUUCCUUUCCCUCAGUUAUAUGACCUGCUGCUUCUUACCAGUUACAGCCUCUGGCCUGCUCAAGUGGUCCCUCCUUCCAGGAGGCUUCUCAAGUAGAAUUUGAAGGCUGUAAUUGC
ensembl:lncRNA